rnacentral:rRNA from 1 species
AGUGGCGAACGGGUGAGUAAUGCAUCGGAACGUGCCCGAUCGUGGGGGAUAACGAAGCGGAAGCUUUGCUAAUACCGCAUACGAUCUACGGAUGAAAGCGGGGGAUCUUCGGACCUCGCGCGGACGGAGCGGCCGAUGGCAGAUUAGGUAGUUGGUGGGAUAAAAGCUUACCAAGCCGACGAUCUGUAGCUGGUCUGAGAGGAUGAUCAGCCACACUGGGACUGAGACACGGCCCAGACUCCUACGGGAGGCAGCAGUGGGGAAUUUUGGACAAUGGGCGCAAGCCUGAUCCAGCCAUGCCGCGUGCAGGAUGAAGGCCUUCGGGUUGUAAACUGCUUUUGUACGGAACGAAAAGGUGCCUUCUAAUAAAGGGCGCUCAUGACGGUACCGUAAGAAUAAGCACCGGCUAACUACGUGCCAGCAGCCGCGGUAAUACGUAGGGUGCGAGCGUUAAUCGGAAUUACUGGGCGUAAAGCGUGCGCAGGCGGUUUUGUAAGACAGAGGUGAAAUCCCCGGGCUCAACCUGGGAACUGCCUUUGUGACUGCAAGGCUGGAGUGCGGCAGAGGGGGAUGGAAUUCCGCGUGUAGCAGUGAAAUGCGUAGAUAUGCGGAGGAACACCGAUGGCGAAGGCAAUCCCCUGGGCCUGCACUGACGCUCAUGCA